rnacentral:lncRNA from 1 species
CUGGAACACCACCACCAGUGUCUCUGAUUGGGUUUUUUCAUAAAAGGUCCAGGAAACUGGAUAGGAUUUGGCUUGAGUGAGUAGCAGUGAAAAUACAAGAGGACUGUUAUUCUUCCAGCCUGCCACAUCUGGAGUUGGAUGGACAGAGUUAUAUGGCACUGGGAAUCAAGUGUGCUAGUCUGGAGAGCCCUGAAGACUGACAUCCGAAGAUAUUACCUGGAAAAUGGCCUCUCAGCCAAUACAGAGGAAGAAGCUACUUGCACACUGUUAGCAGUCCCCACUGCUCUCUGCCUGUGUCCUGAAUUGCAUCGUGUGCUUGUUGGCUCAAGCUAAAGAUCCACUGCACUGCACGUUUGAAGGAAGAGAGUACAUGAAAGGCACUAGGUGGUGGACAGCAAGGUCGUGAGCUGGCAGUGAUGGCAUUACCUCCAGAACUGGUCACUAACGAAGGUAAUUAAUCAUGUUUAGAGAUAAGACCUUUGGCUAAUCCAUAUUUUUUUUGUGUCGUCAGUAGGAUCUGGACAUAGUGCUCGUUCCGAUUGGUGCUGGCUUUGUGAGGAGUGGACACUUCCAAGGCAGAGAGAGAACUGAAAUCCGGGACGAUCUGUGGCAUCUGGGAGCCUGUGUGGAUUCCCGCUCCCAGGAGGUGUCCGAGGCAGUGGCCCUCCCUCCUCCAGGACUGCACAGGGGCAAUAGCAGCCGCAGCUGCAAAAUGAGCUCUCUUUAGCGGUUAGAGCUGACGGGGCCUUUUUAGGAGUGGGAGAUGUGAAAGUUGCCUGCCUUCUGCAUUUGCAAAAUGAGGGAGAAAAAGGCAAGGUAUUUGCAGAUCCACCCAGAAGGAAUUCAUAAUAGGGCUAAUAUCUGGGAAGACAGUUAAUCCUUCACUUGCCUAAAAGCCUUUUGUAACUGAAGGACCUCUAACUUGGUUUCCAGGACAUGUCUCGGUAGUUAGAAAUACCUUGGUUAGACCCUUGGUCUCAGCUCUGCUGGCCUGGGAAGCACCUUCGUAGGCACGUGAUAGAGUUUACAACAGCUUUGGCUCAUGUAGGCAAGAAGCAGCUGUUCUCCUGCCACGUCUCACUGUAACGCUGAGCUUGAUUAAACUGUGAACAUUGACGCUGUUUCUGCUUCCAAUUCAAGCUGAUCUUUAAGCUUUGGUUUUGAAAUGUCACCCUGGCAGAAGGCAAGAAAAAACACCAGAAAAUAUCUUGAGAAGUUUUUAAUCUCUUUUCAUUCCUUAAUUAGCAUUCUCCUCCCUCCCUACUCAAGGACAAUAAUUAUUUGUUUUAUUCUUUUUCUGUAAAAAUGAAGCAUGAGAAAAGUAGGUAUUAUCCU